CAACUGAUUAGGCUCCAGUUCUGAAGCUUCUGUGACCUCAAGAAGCCAGGAUUUGUCUAAAUGCAGCAGGAGGAAGUGUGUCAGCAUCUGGGGGACACCGCUGGAGGUGUAGCAGAUGUCCACGAACGCGAGGUGGCCGAGGAAGAAGUACAUGGGCAGGUGGAGUCGAGUGUCCAGCCAGAUCAAGAGGAGGAUGAGCCCAUUGCCCAGCAGGGUCAGCAGGUAGGUGGCCCCAAAGAGCACAAAGAGCCCAGCCUGGGUCCGUGCAUCAUCGGAGAGACCCAUUAGGAUGAACUCACUUACCCAGCU
rnacentral:lncRNA from 1 species